AGUGAACGCUGGCGGUAGGCCUAACACAUGCAAGUCGAACGGCAGCACAGUAAGCGCUUGCUCUUACGGGUGGCGAGUGGCGGACGGGUGAUGAAUACAUCGGAAUCUACUUUUUCGUGGGGGAUAACGUAGGGAAACUUACGCUAAUACCGCAUACGACCUACGGGUGAAAGCAGGGGAUCUUCGGACCUUGCGCGAUUGAUUGAGCCGAUGUCGGAUUAGCUAGUUGGCGGGGUAAAGGCCCACCAAGGCGACGAUCCGUAGCUGGUCUGAGAGGAUGAUCAGCCACACUGGAACUGAGACACGGUCCAGACUCCUACGGGAGGCAGCAGUGGGGAAUAUUGGACAAUGGGCGCAAGCCUGAUCCAGCCAUACCGCGUGGGUGAAGAAGGCCUUCGGGUUGUAAAGCCCUUUUGUUGGGAAAGAAAAGCAGCAGGUUAAUACCCCGCUGUUCUGACGGUACCCAAAGAAUAAGCACCGGCUAACUUCGUG
rnacentral:rRNA from 1 species